rnacentral:rRNA from 1 species
UGGGGGAUAUUGCACAAUGGGCGAAAGCCUGAUGCAGCGACGCCGCGUGUGGGAAGACGGUCUUCGGAUUGUAAACCACUGUCUUCGGGGACGAUAAUGACGGUACCCGAGGAGGAAGCUCCGGCUAACUACGUGCCAGCAGCCGCGGUAAUACGUAGGGAGCGAGCGUUGUCCGGAAUUACUGGGUGUAAAGGGAGCGUAGGCGGGAGGCCAAGUUGAAUGUUAAAUCUACCGGCUCAACUGGUAGCUGCGUUCAAAACUGGUCUUCUUGAGUGAAGUAGAGGUUGGCGGAAUUCCUAGUGUAGCGGUGAAAUGCGUAGAUAUUAGGAGGAACACCAGUGGCGAAGGCGGCCAACUGGGCUUUUACUGACGCUGAGGCUCGAAAGCGUGGGGAGCAAACAGG